rnacentral:tRNA from 1 species
AUUUAUAUAGUUUAUACUAAAACAUUACACUUUCACUGUAAAGAUAAAUAUUAUUUUAUAAAUU